rnacentral:lncRNA from 1 species
UCUAUAUAUUAUAUAGAGAGAGAGAGAGGAAUACUAUUAAUUGUAUUUCGACUCUUUUACUAUCAAUUUUUUAGCCAUUGGAUAUAUACUUUAAUCAAUUCCACCCUUUACAUCAGAUACUCAAUCAACCACCCACUCAACCCUAGAAGGGCCACCACUAAACCCUGGGAGACCACUAUCAUUCUAACUCUACAACUUUUCAUCCAAAGGUUAAAAUCUCGAUAGCAAUAGAGCACAAAUACUAUCAAUAGCAUUCUAGCCCAAUUAUAUAUAUAUAUAUAUAUAUAUAUAUAUAUAUAGAGAGAGAGAGAGAGAGAGAGAGAGAGAGAGAGAGAGAG